GGUCUCGCCUGCCCAGUGAAAUUUUUUAACGGCCGCGGUAUUCUAACCGUGCAAAGGUAGCGUAAUCACUUGUCUUUUAAAUAAAGACUAGUAUGAACGGCUGAAUGAGGACAAACCUGUCUCUUGCAACCAAUCAGUGAAACUGAUCCUCCAGUACAAAAGCUGGAAUAUACCCAUAAGACGAGAAGACCCUGUGGAGCUUUAAACCAAACACUAAUAAGCAAACAACCAAGCGCAUUUAGUGUGUUGUUUUGAGUUGGGGCGACUUCGGAACAAAACAAAACUUCCAAGCACAGAACCACAACUUCUAGCCAAGGCAAACAGGCCUAAGCAAGCCAACACGACCCAGUAAAACUGAUCAACGAACCAAGUUACCCCAGGGAUAACAGCGCCAUCUUCUUCAAGAGUCCAUAUCGACAAGAAGGUUUACGACCUCGAUGUUGGAUCAGGACACCCAAAUGGUGUAGCCGCUAUUAAAGGUUCGUUUGUUCAACGAUU
rnacentral:rRNA from 1 species